rnacentral:rRNA from 1 species
AUUGAACGCUGGCGGCAGGCCUAACACAUGCAAGUCGAACGAGUGGCGGACGGGUGAGUAAUGUCUGGGAAACUGCCCGAUGGAGGGGGAUAAAUACUGGAAACGGUAGCUAAUACCGCAUACCAUCGGAUGUGCCCAGAUGGGAUUAGCUAGUAGGUGGGGUAACGGCUCACCUAGGCGACGAUCCCUAGCUGGUCUGAGAGGAUGACGAGCGACACUGGAACUGAGACACGGUCCAGACUCCUAAGGGAGGCAGCAGGGGGGAAUAGUGGAGAAGGGGCGAAAGCCUGAUGCAGCAAGGCCGCGGGUAUGAAGAGGGCCGUCGGGUUGUGAAGUACUUUCAGCGAGGAGGCGUUACUCGCAGAAGAAGCACCGGCUAACUCCGUGCCAGCCGCCGCGGUAAUUC